AGAGCUUGAUCCUGGCUCAGAACGAACGCUGGCGGCGUGGAUAAGACAUGCAAGUCGAACGAGAGAAUUGCUAGCUUGCUAAUAAUUCUCUAGUGGCGCACGGGUGAGUAACACGUGAGUAACCUGCCCCCGAGAGCGGGAUAGCCCUGGGAAACUGGGAUUAAUACCGCAUAGUAUCGAAAGAUUAAAGCAGCAAUGCGCUUGGGGAUGGGCUCGCGGCCUAUUAGUUAGUUGGUGAGGUAACGGCUCACCAAGGCGAUGACGGGUAGCCGGUCUGAGAGGAUGUCCGGCCACACUGGAACUGAGACACGGUCCAGACACCUACGGGUGGCAGCAGUCGAGAAUCAUUCACAAUGGGGGAAACCCUGAUGGUGCGACGCCGCGUGGGGGAAUGAAGGUCUUCGGAUUGUAAACCCCUGUCAUGUGGGAGCAAAUUAAAAAGAUAGUACCACAAGAGGAAGAGACGGCUAACUCUGUGCCAGCAGCCGCGGUAAUACAGAGGUCUCAAGCGUUGUUCGGAAUCACUGGGCGUAAAGCGUGCGUAGGCUGUUUCGUAAGUCGUGUGUGAAAGGCGCGGGCUCAACCCGCGGACGGCACAUGAUACUGCGAGACUAGAGUAAUGGAGGGGGAACCGGAAUUCUCGGUGUAGCAGUGAAAUGCGUAGAUAUCGAGAGGAACACUCGUGGCGAAGGCGGGUUCCUGGACAUUAACUGACGCUGAGGCACGAAGGCCAGGGGAGCGAAAGGGAUUAGAUACCCCUGUAGUCCUGGCAGUAAACGGUGCACGCUUGGUGUGCGGGGAAUCGACCCCCUGCGUGCCGGAGCUAACGCGUUAAGCGUGCCGCCUGGGGAGUACGGUCGCAAGAUUAAAACUCAAAGAAAUUGACGGGGACCCGCACAAGCGGUGGAGUAUGUGGCUUAAUUCGAUGCAACGCGAAGAACCUUACCUGGGCUUGACAUGUAAUGAACAACAUGUGAAAGCAUGCGACUCUUCGGAGGCGUUACACAGGUGCUGCAUGGCCGUCGUCAGCUCGUGUCGUGAGAUGUUUGGUUAAGUCCAGCAACGAGCGCAACCCCUGUUGCCAGUUACCAGCACGUGAAGGUGGGGACUCUGGCGAGACUGCCCAGAUCAACUGGGAGGAAGGUGGGGACGACGUCAGGUCAGUAUGGCCCUUAUGCCCAGGGCUGCACACGUACUACAAUGCCCAGUACAGAGGGGGCCGAAGCCGCGAGGCGGAGGAAAUCCUAAAAACUGGGCCCAGUUCGGACUGUAGGCUGCAACCCGCCUACACGAAGCCGGAAUCGCUAGUAAUGGCGCAUCAGCUACGGCGCCGUGAAUACGUUCCCGGGUCUUGUACUCACCGCCCGUCA
rnacentral:rRNA from 1 species